AUGAAGAUUCCAAUACCUAUGUAUGCACAGAAACUUCUACUAGUGAUGCUGAUGGAACAUGAUUGUGUUAAGGUAUCUGAUAUCCUGAAUGAAGCGACAGUAUCCCAGUGCUUUGAAUAUUUGCUUGGAGAUCUUUCAAAUGCAAACGUAAGCAAUGUCAAGCUUUGUUUUGCUCUGGCAUCUGCUCCCGACAUGGACUCCAAUAUUCUAUCGCAGCUUCAAGUUGUCAGAAGAAUAGGGAAUCUACUUGAGUUAAUUUGUAACUGCCAAGAUAUGGAUGAUUUUCUAGAACCAACAGAGGAACUGUGCAGAGCUUUCAUUAUCCGUGGCACCGGCUGCAACAGAAGCAUCGUCCUCACCAAAGAACCUGCAGUCCUUGUUGAUAGCGCCUUCAGCAUGAGCAUUGUUGUUGAUCAUCAAUCAUGCAUCAUGGACAUAUGA
rnacentral:rRNA from 1 species